UUUAUUUAAGUAGUAUUAGUUAUUUUCUUGAAACUUAAAAAAUUUGGCGGUAUUUUAGUCUAUUCAGAGGAACCUGUUUUGUAAUCGAUAUUCCACGAUGGACCUUUCUUAAAUUUGUUUUCAGUUUAUAUACCGUUGUUAUUAGAAUAUUUUAUAAAAAAAAUAAUUUUCUAGAAUUUUAAUAAAAAUUUAUAUCAAAUCAAGGUGUAGCUUAUGUUUAAGUAUUAAUGGGUUACAAUAAAAUAAUUUAUAUGAAUAUAAUUAUGAAAAAAUUAUUGAAAGUGGAUUUGAUAGUAAAAUUAUAGAGAUUAAUAAUUUGAUUUUAGCUCUAAAAUAUGU
rnacentral:rRNA from 1 species